CUCCGGCGAGAGCAGCUACGCUGGCAAUGGCAGCCCCUGGCAGAGGAGAGAGCCGCGCCUCGGGGCGGACUGUACUUGUGCCUUUAAAAAGAAUAGAAAUAUAUCCAAAAUAUUUGCAAAAUAAAUAAAAGCAUAUGUCAUCAGCUCCCUUUCCCAAGAAGCACUGAUUCAGAGAAAAGAAGAAUAAAACACAACAUUCAUUUCUAUUAAAAAUACUUGAAAAUA